GACCGCGUAGCUCAGAUGGUAGAGCAAUUCAAAAAACGGAGGUUGAAAAACAUCCUAACAGCAAGAGCAGAAAGUGUCUCCGGUUCGAGUCCGGACGUGGUCA
rnacentral:tRNA from 1 species